rnacentral:lncRNA from 1 species
UUCAAUUUUUUUCGCCUCAUUCAAAGCUGCCGUGUAUAAUCAUUGAUGGUGACUUUGUUUGAUGAUACCGUUUCAUGACUUCCUAUUCUAUAGUUAUCGCCAUCAAUUUAAACCAUUUCGACAUUAUGCAAGCAUGCAAUUCCCUUGUUCCAACAGCGAAUAAUAACUUUUGAUGAAACCUUACUGAGUCUAAUGUUUUUGUUUUUUUCUGUAAUUUUCAGAUAAAUCGCCGAAAUAUUCAGUCUUUCAAUAACCUCACUUGCAAAACGAUAUUCCAACCGUUUAUAUUGUAACUGUGCAUCAUUAGAUAUGUGGAAUAUAUGACGCUAGUUGAUUUGUCCAUUAAGUAAGAAUCUUCAAUAGAUUUCUGCUGAAUUUAUCUCUCUCAUUAUUUGAUAUCAUUUCCAGCUUCAUUUCAUUUCAACCUAAAAUAGAGCAAAUUCCAGACACUGAGAGACAAGUUUUGAGAAUUCUCUCUUUUUUUCUCCCUUGUUUGUUAACCUAGUCACGUAUUUUUAUUCAAUGUUGUUUGUCAUCAAAAGCAUUUUUAACUUUACAUAGCUUAACUAGAAUAGAUUGAACAUCAGAACUCUGUAAAUUACGGGUGCUAAAAAUAUUUUGUUUUUAUAUUUAAAGUAUUGCGGCAGUGUUAUCGUCAUGAAUAAUAUUAGCGAAAGUCACAAAUUGGGAAGAGUGGCUCAGUAGACCUUAUCUACCCUAGUACUCGACUGGUAUUUCAUUUCAUCAAUCCCCAGAAGCACAAAAAUGCUCAGAGUCAGCCCUGGCAGGAUUUGAAAUCAGAACAUAAAGAUACUUCAUUACAAAAUAUGCAGGAAUUUAGUUCACUGCUUUACGAUUUCUCCAUUUAGCUACUUGACAUGUUUUGUGUUGUGAAUUUAAAACCUACAAGGGUUGGCUUCAAUUUUCAUGGUUCCUGGGAGCGAUGAAAUACCAGACUAGUACUGGACUACAUUCGCCUCACAAAACCAUUCUUACCAAGUGGUUACUUUGGAUAAUAUUAUUCACAUUGUACAAAGCCAUAGAUAUUUAAAUUAAAGUAGUGAGGUAAGGCAAACAACUAGGCAAGACAUGACAAGGACAUUUAAUAUAAUUUAAUUCAAUCUAAUUUAGCUACAUAACGAAUAGUAAAAAAAAUAAUAAAGAAAUAGUCUCCGACAGUUGUUUCUGGGAUAUCCCAGUUAUGGGAGCAUCGUAUUGAGCGAGGACUGUGUAAGUUGAGUAUUCCGUUAUCGGAGAGAUAUAGGUUAGACAGUGGAAGAAAGUUCCUCAUCAAUGAUAUUUUUGGGGGUUCAUUAAGUUCAGGAGUGUGGAAGGGGCCAAUUAAAUCCAGUUAGAUCGGGUAUUCUUUAGAUAGAUCCAGGGUCAGAAAGGACGGUUAGGUGAGAGAAAGGAAAGAAUGGUUACGCAUUACUCCAUAGCGAGGGAAAAUGAAUGCUAGCAGUUCCAAUGGCAGUCAUACGUAUUUAUAAGAGUGGGUUAUAAUUAAUCGACUCCUAGUAAAUUACUGGUUCAUAUUUUAUCUCUGCUCACCUCUUUUCAGCAAAAAGAAGAGCAAUUCGCCUCAGGUAGAUUUUAACGAUGAAUGCCGUAACCUAAUACUACUAGGCUGUAAUGUAGGUACUUCACCAUCUUCGCCAGACUAGAAAUUAAAUGGAAAUACUCUACCAAUUUAAACCUUCUGGCUUAUAUCCUGUGAGUCACCUCAUAAGAAUUGUUAUUAAAGCUAAUGAUUUUGUUGACGUCAUAAGAACUUUAUGAGCAUUUGAGAGAACGUGAAAUAAUAAUUUUUUAGAAUUCUCGAAGCACACACAUAAGGCUAUAAUCAAUAUCAUGUAAAUAUUUAAAAACUAUUACUUAUAGAUGUAUGUGUGAGUUAGUGAUCUCCCUCUCGUUGUAGCUGUUAUUUCAACUGGGUAAAAGUGAUAAAAGUUCUCACUUCAUUAAAUUAGCCUGUACUUAAUUAAAUGUACUUCUUGGAGAAGGUAUCACUGGCAAUUUUCCAAUAUCACUAGUUUAGUCUAAUGUAUUGAAAUGUUGCGAUAUGUUUAUGAACUACCCAUUCCUUUCCUAUAAUCUUAUGUUCCUUUCUUGUGUUUUCUAUGCAUCUAAUGAUUCUGGGUCACUUUUCGUGGUUUGAGAGAUUAUUGAUUAGCUAAACAUUAUAAUUUACACAGGUAUCAUAGGUAGGGAGACUGAACGUAGGAGUAUUGUGGUUUUGUAUUUUGUAGAUUAGCAAAAUUCGGAGCUUAUCACCCAUCUCUCACGCUAUUAUUAUCCUCAAAUGUAGGAGUUCUGAAGGCGUGAGAAAGAUGAUUUUAGAUCCUGUGAGUUUGCAAAUACUAACGAUUUCAGUUAUCUAUCCAACUCUAUGCAAGGGUGGGAUGGGGUGAUUAUUAUUUAAUAAUUUUAAUUACAAAAUGUAAAAUAAUUUAUAUAGUUUUUUUUUUCAAUAUAGAAUAUGCUUGAAGUCAAAUGAAUGACAGUAACAGUAUAGUGUUGAACUAAUUGUUCUGAAGUACUGAGCAGUGCCAGCAGCAGACAUUACUACCUGGAAUAUUGGCACGAACGAAUCCGAAAACAAAGUAAACGGCGGAAGAAUACAACUGGUAAUAGAGUACACACACACAAACAUACAAGCACACACACAUGCGUGCGCGGUGGGUGAAUAGCAGUGUGACGUUGCGAUGCUCUCGCCUUUGCCAGAGAGCAUUAGCAGAAUGAAAAUCCUGAGACUCAGUUAAGACGUCAUUGAGUCCGCCAGAUGUAAAUGCUAGAAGCAUCUAUGAGCUCAUUCAGCUCGCUAGAUAUAGCAGCUAAAUUCUCUAAUCCCUGAAAAUUCAUACUUUAGACCAGUGGUUCUCAACCUUUCUUUUUUACUUAUGGAGCCCUUUGAUAAUUAUUUUAUUCUGGCAGACCCUUCCCCCAUAACCAUUUGAUGUUCAAAAACUAAUUAUAUAAAAACUUUUUCCAAAAUUCAUUUUUUUUUUUUUCACACAUUAACUUGUCUAUGUUGAACUAUGUAAAAUGUUAGAGAGAGAAACCUCGCUGUUUCUUGCAAUACAUACCAAUACAUCUAGUGAAGGCGCGUGGCUUAGUGGUUAGGGGCAUUCGGCUCAUGAUCGUAAGGUCGUGAGUUCAAUUCCCGGCGGCGCGUUGCGUCCUUGAGCAAGACACUUUAUUUCACGUUGCUCCAGUCCACUGAGCUGGCAAAAAUGAGUAGUGCCUGUAUUUCAAAGGGCCAGCCUUGUCGCACUUUGUGUCACGCUGAAUCUCCCCGAGAACUACGUUAAGGGUACACGUGUUUGUGGGGUGCUGAGCCACUUGCACGUUAAUUUCCCGAUCAAGCUGUUCCGUUGAUCGUAUCAGCUGGGACCCUCGUCGUCGCAACCGACGGAGUGCUCCUUUCUACCAUUACAUCUAAAGCAAAAUUUUUUUAGGGGCCAUUAAAAUACUGUUGUUGAUCCCCAAUUAACUAAUUUGCUACGUGCCUCUCACCAACCUGAAUUUUAUAUGGACCCCCAGGGGGUCAUAUGGACCUCGGUUGAGAACCACUGAUCUAGAGUCCUGAAGAUAGGCAUAUCGAGCAACGUCUAAGUUACAGAAUUCUCGAACAAAGUAACGAGUCAAUUAUGGAAAGAAUGAUUUUUUUUAACAAAGGAUAUUUAGAUUAGGCACUCUUUACUCUCUUUUACUCUUUUACUUGUUUCAGUCAUUUGACUGCGGCCAUGCUGGAGCACCGCCUUUUAGUCGAGCAAAUCGACCCCGGGACUUAUUCUUUGUAAGCCUAGUACUUAUUCUAUCGGUCUCUUUUGCCGAACCACUAAGUGACGGGGACAUAAACACACCAGCAUCGGUUGUCAAGCAAUGCUAGAGGGACAAACACAGACACACAAACAUACACACACAGAACACACACACACACACACACAUAUAUAUAUAUAUAUAUAUACAUAUAUACGACAGGCUUCUUUCAGUUUCCGUCUACCAAAUCCACUCACAAGGCUUUGGUCGGCCCGAGGCUAUAGCAGAAGACACUUGCCCAAGGUGCCACGCAGUGGGACUGAACCCGGAACCAUGUGGUUGGUAAACAAGCUACUUACCACACAGCCACUCCUGCACAUAUAGAGUUAAUAAAAAACAUCACCAGGAUAGCAACACAUAACCCUCAUACAUGUAUACAACAUACACGAACACUCAUUUUGAAAUCUUGCUAAAUUUUACCUUUUACUUCGCAAUUAAAUCGCCCAUUCUAAACUCAUUUAUGUAUUGGUGUACACCCGCUUCUACUGUCUGGGUGAUUAAAUGAAGUGAACAAAAACGUUAAUGUUUAUAUCCCUUACACUUCAACCGGCUCUCAUAUACGCACGCUCGUAUGCAUACACGCACACACACACACACACACACAAACACGCACCCGCCACAAGCAUACACACACAUCCUUAUGCAUUCAUUUCUACAAAUAUAAACUAAUGCUUUCUUUCGAACUUAUCUAUCAUUCUUCUUUGUCUAUGUCUGUUGGUCACCGACACACAGACACAGACAGAAUACACACUUGUAUAACAUGUUCAGGUCGUAUAUAUAUAUAUAUAUACAGAGAGGAAGAGAGAGAUAAAUAUACUUAUCUAUCUAUCUAUCUAUCUAUCUAUCUAUCUAUCUAUCUAUCUAUCUAUCUAUCUAUCUACCGAUAUCCCUCUCUGUAUGUAUGUUUAUACAUACAUAUUUAUAUAUUUAUGUAUAUCUAUAUCUCUUCCUAUAUAUAUAGAUAUAUACAUAUAUGCAUAUAUGUAUAUACAUAUAUAUGCAUAUACAUAUACAUAUACAUAUGUAUAUAUACAUAAACAUAUACAUUAUAUAUAUAUUCAUAUACAUAUAUGUAUAUAUAUAUAUAUAUAUAUAGAGAGAGAGAGAGAGAGAGAAAGAGAGAGAGAAAGAGAGAGAGAGAUACAUACACACACACACACACACGUGUAAUAACCAUAUACAUAAACACCUUCAAACGCGCACACAUUUUUUCUUCUUUUUUUCUAGUUUCAGCUCAGAGCUGCGGCCAUGCUGUUGCACCGCCGUUGAACAAUUAAUAAAUGCAUAUAUGUUAAAUUAUAAUAUAUCUGUCCCUGUCUCUCUGUUUGUCUCUCUCUGCAUGUAUGUAUCUAUGUAUACACACGUGCGCACACACAUACGCACGCACACGCACGCACAUGCACUCUCCCCCACCACACAAACACAAACUUAUAUAAGCGCACAUGCACACGUACACACACAUGUAUGUGUGUAUAUUAUAUACAUACACACAUAUAUCAUAUUAUUAUUAUUACCAUUAUUAUUAUUAUUAUUAUUAUUAUUAUUAUUAUUAUUAUUAUUAUUAUUGAGUGAGAGAGCAGCACAUACCAUCAAAGUGACACAGGGGUAUAAUUAUACGAAGCCCAAUACACCCAUCACGACUACCCGUCUGAUAAGGGUACACCAGGCACAUCCAUCACAACCAUAUGUGCGCGACAUGGUGAUCUUAUAUUAAGAUAAACAGCAUAUGAGCUUACAGAUGGGGACCAGUUAGAUUUUCUUCAGGUUGAGUAGCCCAUCCCGCUCAAAAGAUCCGUGAAUAAGGUUUGUUUCAGGAUGAUGAACGAAACACCCAUGUUUCUAGACGUGAAUUAUUCAAAUCCCAAAGAAUUUCUUUCAACACACGGUUAUGAUGCUCCCCCACUACUUCUGCUUGUGAUCAAAGAUGCAUAUAUUGCCAUUCACUAAGGGACAUGCUCAACUGGUUAAGGUCAAACAACUGACAAGCAAAUCUGUGGUAUUGAGCAGAAUAUUUGCUGUAGUCCAUCUCAAUCAAGACAAAACAAUGUACAUGAUAACACUUCCAAUUAGUUAAGAUCAGAAGCCAUGAGAGCCAUUGCCUGAUGUUGCAUCAGGGCAGUUUUAUUAUUAUCAUUAUUAUUAUUAUUAUUAUUAUUGAGUGAGAGAGCAGUGCAUGCCAUCAAAGUGACACUGGGGUAAAAUAUACGAAGCCCAAUAUACCCAUCAUUACUACCCGUCUGAUAAAGGUACACCAGGCACAUGCAUCACAACCAUAUGUGCGCGACAUGGUGAUCUCAUAUCAAGAUAAACAGCACAUGACCUUGCAGGUGGGGCCCAGUUAGAAUUUUCUUCAGGUUGAGUAGCCCAUCCCGCUCAAAAGGUCCCUGAAUAAGGGUUGUUUAAGGAUGUUGAAAGAACCACCCAUGUUUCCAGAGGUGAAUUAUUCAAACGCCAAAGAAUCCCUCUCAACACAUGGCUAUGAUGCUCCCCACUACUUCUGCUCGUGAUCAGAGAUGCACAUAUCGUCAGCCACUAAGGGACAUGCUCAACUGGUUAAGGUCAAACAACUGACAAGCAAAUCUGUGGUAUUGAGCAGAAUAUUUGCUCUAGCCCAUCUUUUAUACCAAGACAAAACAAUGUACAUGAUAACACUUCCAAUCAGUUAAGAUCAGAAGCCAUGAGAGCCACUGCCUGGUACUGCAUCAGGGCAUUUAUUAUUAUUAUUAUUAUUAUUAUUAUUAUUACUUUUUUUUCUUCUUCUUUCAAAUUUUCUUCCAUUUCUUGCCGAGUGUCUUCCCGACUCCUAGGGCAAAGAAACUCAUAGUGUAUAUUGGUAGGCCAUUAAACCAAACUCAGUAGUUCGUUCAUUUUUAUUAUUAUUAUUAUUAUUAUUAUUAUUAUUAUUGUUGUUAUUAUUAUUAUUAUUAUUAUUUUUAAUAUUAUUAUUAUUAUUAUUAUUAUUAUUAUUAUUAUUAUGAUUAUUAUUGUUAUUAUUAUUAUUAUAAAUAACAACAACAACAACAGUAAUAAUUAUAAUAUCAAGAACAACAGAGUACAAUAUCAUAUUGUCGUAUAUGUUACAUUAUCACGGCGUUUCAUAAAGGAGAUGAGAUAACCCCAGCAAUCAUCAGAAAUGUUCGAUCGUCUUCUUCAGUAGCAUCUUCGUGUAGAACUCGUUGAAUGAAAUCCUCAUAUUCUUUGUAAAGUAUCCAAGGUCACACAAUUGAACAGCAAUAAAAAGUUACAUGUAAAUAUUCUUAAAUUUUUAAUGACUCUGAAGAGUGCCCUGACAUGGGUUAACAACAACAGAACACAUGUCACGAGAGGCUUAUUGCAAUAUAGUCCACAAAACAUAGGAACGUAUAUUGUGUGUGUAUGUGUAUAGAUGUGUGUGUAUUUACACAUAUAUGAAUACAGAAAAAUAUUCGUAUACUGAUAUACUAAUAUAUACGUAUGUACGUAUGUUUGUAUGUAUGUAUAUAUGUACGUAUGUAUGUAUGUAUGUCGUUAUUCAGUUUAUUUUAAGAUUUCAUACCAAUAGAGAGAGCCGGUUUCUAACCUAGAUCCAAGGCUCUUUCAUUGGAAUUUCAACAUCAACACCAUGGUAUUUUUCUUUGUAUGUAUGUAUAUAUGUAUGUAUUUAUGUAUGUAUGUUUUAUGUAUGUAUUCUCAUGCAUAUAGUUGCAUAUCUAAAUAUGCUCAUAUAUACAUAUUUAUGCCAACGGGUAAAUGUUGUGUAUAGAAUACAAAGUAACAAAUGCAGCAAGUUCUAUGUGGGUAGCACAACAAAACAUCUGAACACGAGAGCCUCCUCCUUCAGAAAACAUCUAGACAGAUGCCGGAACACCGACAAAGGCAUAACAGUCACAAUUGAGGCCAAAGAAAUUUAGGUAAUCUAAGAAUUAAGGAAGCUAUCCUCAUAGACAGACUAGGGCUUCAAAUUAACAACAGGCUGGAGGUUGGUAAUAAAUUAACCACCAGUGAACUACAAUUCACACUCUAGGAGUUAAUAAAAUAAGAACCAGUUUAGUACUGGGGUCGAUGUAAUAGACCUAUACCCUAUUCCGAAUUUGCUGACCUUCUGCCAAAGUUUGAAAUCAUUAUUAAUAUCAAACCAUAGCCUAUUUUCGAAAGAAUUUAACUGAAAUAUUUAAGUAGCAUAAAUUUAAGAUAAUGAUAGCCAUCUUCUUAGAUACCAAGCUAGAUCGACAAUACUAUGCAAAAACCAACAAACAAAAGCACCAUAUACAACCCUCCAAAAUCCUCCAGUAGCCAUAAUUAGGACAUUUGUAUAUGGCUCAGCUUGAAUAAUUAGGUGUCUUUGAGUUGUCUUCAGAUAGGGAUAACUUUAAUAUGGGAUACCUCUUUUCGUAAUGAUGCGCUAGCAUAAAACAUAAUCAAAGAGAAGCUGGUAUACGAAGAGCAAACUCUCUUCCACGAUACACUAAACCAAACCAAACAGGAAGAAUAGGAUUUGGUUUAGCUCGUUAAAUGACUUGUACAGUGGACACAGUGGAUACAGUGGAUUAAACUAUAUUAAUUCUUAAUAAAGGCGGCGAGCUGGCAGAAACGUUAGCACGCCGGGCGAAAUGCGUAGUCGUAUUUCGUCUGCCGUUACGUUCUGAGUUCAAAUUCCGCCGAGGUCGACUUUGCCUUUCAUCCUUUCGAGGUCGAUAAAUAAAGUACCAGUUUCGCACUGGGGUCGAUUUAAUCGACUUAAUCCGUUUGUCUGUCCUUGUUUGUCCCCUCUAUGUUUAGCCCCUUGUGGGCAGUAAAGAAAUAUAUAUUAAUUCUAGUAAAAAAAGAAAGAAAAAAAUUCUCAUCGACAUAUAAAUACAAUAAUCUUUCAACACGUUAUAGUUACCUAGUCCUACUUAGACAAUGUUGUCUCCAAUAUUUCAUUCCACAAUCGAAAACACCUACACUUAACAUUUUCACUCCAACAGCCAAAUUGUAGCUCUUGAAAUCAUUCUACUUUCAAAACCAUUUGACAUUAAACUGAAGGAUUGCUGAAUACUUUUUUUUUUUUUUUAGUAGAGUACAUAUUUAUUUACUUUCAUAACGAAAAGUGAUCACAAAGUUUUUGGUUGCCCAUCAUUAUCAGACCCUCUGAUGAAGGCUGCCAAUCUCUUCCUUUUAAAAGUUAAAUUAUCUGUUUGUCGACCUAUCAAUCAAACAAUAAAUCAAGCAAGCAAGCAGCAAGCAAGCAAACAAGCAAUCGAUCAAUCUGUCGCUUCACCCCCUGUGUGUGUGUGUGCGUGCGUGCGUGUGUGUGUGUGUGUGUGCGUGUGUGUGUGUGUGUGUGCGCGUGUGUGUGUGUGUAUGAGAGAGAAAGAAAGUGAGAGACAGACAGAAAGAAAUUUAAUGAUCAAUAUUUGAAAAGAUAGGAGACGUUUAGAUAUAGAGCGCAUAUACGUAAUUAAGGAAUGCUCUUCAUCCCUUGAAAUUGUGAGGUCAAUGACCUCUGCGCGGUGAUCUGAGUUGGCGCCGUCUAUCACAGCAUCGACUUGCUAAAGCUUUGUAAUUGAAGUUUCAUUGGCUGUGUGUUAAAAUCCAUCUUGCAUAAUCGGCGAGGAUAUAAAAAAAAAUCUACCUAUAUUGUGAUAAACAGAUAUGUAAGUAUGUGUAUUUGUGCAACACACAUGUAACACGUAUGUGCAGGUGCGUGUGAGAAAAAGAUAGAGGAAGAGAUAAAAGGAAAGAGAGUGAAUGAGAAGGAGGACAUGGUGAGAAAAAGCAAAAGUAACAAAGGGUCUGAAUCCUUUUAAAGGAGAAGCAUAAACAGAGAUUGACAGACAGAGAAAGCAACCGAGAAAGGAAUAGCGCAACUGAAAAGUAAAGGGAAUCACUGUCUGUCUAUCUAUCUAUCUAUCUAUCUAUCUAUCUAUCUAUCUAUCUAUCUAUCUAUCUAUCUAUCUAUCUAUCUGUCUAUCUAUCUAUCUAUCUAUCUAUCUAUCUAUCUAUCUAUCUAUCUAUCUAUCUAUCUAUCUAUCUAUCUAUCUAUCUCAUCUAUCUUUCCUUUUGUUCCUUUUCCUUUUCUUUUUUCUUUUUAUUCUUUUUAUUUUAUUCAUUUUUUUGUUUUUUUGUUUUUGUUCUUUUCUUCCCUUUUACGAUCCCUCUUGAUCGAAAACCUACGCCACCCCUUUUUUUUCUUUUGUUUUUUGUUCUCUUUAUCCCCCAAAAGAAAAGCUCUACCUUGUAACUUGUCCCAUCUGUGUGCAGCCCUGUGUGGCCAAUAAAGAAACUUAUCUAUCUAUCUAUCUGUCUGUCUGUCUGUCUGUCUGUCUGUCUGUCUGUCUGUCUGUUUGUAUGUCUGUCUAUCUAUCUAUCCAUCCAUCCAUCCAUUCAUCCAUCCAUCCAUCUAUCUAUCUAUCUAUCUAUCUAUCUAUCUAUCUAUCUAUCUAUCUAUCUGUCAGUCUCUCUGUCUGCUGCCUGUCUGCUGCCUGUCUGAUUGUCUGUCUGUCUACCCGCCUAUCUAUAUAGUGGGUGAGAUAUACAUAGAGAAAGAGAGAGAGAGAGAGAAGGAGAGAGAGAAUGAGAAAGAAGAAAGAGAGAGAGAAGGGGGAUAGAGAAAGAGAGAGAGAAAGAGGUGAAGGAAUAUCAAGAAUGCAAGUGGAUAUGGAAGUGAAACUGUCGUCUGUUGAAAAAGCAGCUGUAGAAAGCUUCAGGCUAUUUACGCAAUAUUACAAAGCUGGAAUAUUUGCGACAAGUGCAAUGAUAUGCACAUGAGAGUGCGACCAAUGGAAGUGCGUGCAACAGCAGCUAUAUUGUAUGCUGUAUGCACCCACUUGUCAGAUAUUACUAUCAUCCCUUUUUCUUGCACUCCUGUUCUGCAACGUGUCUACUAUGGCGGCCAACAAUUUAGCUUUCCUUACUUUACAAGUGAUUUUAAUACUUCUAUCUACAUUUAGUUAUAUCUAUUUACCUUGUAGCACUCUCCAGUUUAGUGUGGCUAUGUAUCAAUCUCUUGUUUAAUGUCCACCUAUGGUGUAUUUCUCUUUACCUCAGAUUACUCCUCUCCAAUAUUAUGCCCAUCAUAUAUCACAAAGUCUGUCACAGUUGCUCUUGCUCUCUUCCAGAGCUUACAUUAGUCUCUCACUCUCUGUCAAUCUCCAUUGAUAUUUACGACUGCCUUCUUUUGUAUACCAUUAUUGUUUUCUCUAAUAGGCCAACGAAAUUAAGCAGAAAUCUAAAAUGCUGCAACUAUAGAAUAUAGAAAUAUGUGUAAGAUUGUAAACAAUAAAAAGUUUAAGAUUAACCUCAUGCGACAUUUCUAUUAAUACUGCAAUAAAUUUUGAUGAUUUCUUUUGCAAUAAAUUAUCUUCCACGGAAAUGAUUAUUUUGUAAAACCUGCCUUUCAUUUUUUGUUUUUUUUUUAAGAAUCUAUUUUCAACAGAUUUUUCUUUUGCAAGAAUCUUACAUUUGCAAGAGACUGUUUCUUUGUUACUUUAUUGAUUUACAAGAAUUACUAUAAUAAUAAUAAUAAUAAUAAUAAUAAUAAUAAUAAUAAUAAUAAUAAUAAUAAUAAUAAUAAUAAUAAUAAUAAUAAUAGUAAUAAUAGUAAUAAUAAUAAUAAUAAUAAUAAUAAUAAUAAUAAUAAUAAUAAUAAUAAUAAUAAUAAUAAUAAUAGUAGUAAUAAUAAUAAUAAUAAUAAUAAUAAUAAUAAUAAUCAUUAUUAUUAUUAUUAUUAUUAUUAUUAUUAUUAUUAUUAUUAUUGUUAUUAUUAUUAUUAUUAGCAAAAGUCAUUUUUUUCUUUGCAAGAACAUUAAUUGCAAGCGUAUUUUGUUUUACAAAAUAUUUUUUCCACCAGAAAAUUCUCGGUGUUUUUUUUUUCAUAUUUAUAUUUUGAAUUUUUUGUCAAAUUGAUUUUUCUUCUUUUUUUCUUCUUUUUAUUUUGUCGAGAAAGUUUCAUUUUAUAGAAUCUAAUAUUUUAGAAUAUUCAAGAAGAAUUUAUCUGAUCAUAAUAUUAAACUGCAUUCGAAUGGUGUUUGUGAAUCAUAGCAAAAAUUAACUGAAUAAUAUAAAACAUACAAAAUUUGAACUUAAAAUUAUCAAUAUUAUAGUCGCUCUUUUGUCUUUAGAUUCUGAAAUGCAUAACUGUUUCAUCUAGUUUCUAAGCCGGCUUUGGAAAAUACUCUCCACUGUUAGCAGAUACCUAAUAAUAUCCGUAUUCAUGUUUUUGCCUAUACUGGGCAACUUGAGACUAUACGUCAACAUCUUACUAUAAUGGGCGUUAUGUUCGUUUGUCUGUCUGUCCAUCUGUCUAUCUGUCUGUCUGUUCGUCUGUCUGUCAGUUCCCUUUUCACGGAUAUUAUUUCGUGGAUAUCGAUUUUUGAAUUGAUAAACCACCUUCGCAUUUUUAUUAAAAAUUCACCGACCACGAGUAACUCUGGAUUUUCAUUGUAUAGUUCGUGGCCCCAUCGUAGGUACGAAGGGGGUCUCGAGGACAGUUUAUAGCGAAAAUAAAAUGGAAAAAGUGUUUGUCAGUAUAUAGCGUGUGAUUAUUUAGUGGUUAUUGAAGUGUGUCAGUCUCAGGCAAGAUUCGAAACGGCUAAUCGAAGCGGCUGUUGUUUACAUUUCAGUUUUGUCAAUCAAACCAGAACAUUCAGACGUUAUUCGCAUAGAAUAGUGAGAGGUAAGUCUUAGUUUGAUUUUUUGCAACCCUAAAGGUUCCGUUCGAGCAUUCACAGCAAACUAGGCACAGGACCAGUCUUUAGAUCAUGUGGGUGUAUUUUUACCCCCUCCGAUAUUUACACACAGCCAGUUCUACGUCGCUAUGAGUAGAGCAGCGGACUUCAGUAAUUUGAAAAUUAGUGUCGACCAAACAGAAAAUAUCAUCUACAAAGAAGUUUGGUAAUCAUAUUGAUAUUAUCGAAAGGAAUAUGAUUCAUAGUUUAAAUAAGGAAAUUUGUGAACUUUGAAUGUGUAAGAGUAUAAACAAGCGUAAAAUACUGUAAACAACUAAGAUAAAAGUAUAUCUAAAUAACAUUUUUUAAAAUCCUUUUUUAUGUAGUGGUCGCAGGAAGCUCUGGCUUUCGUUAGGAUUGGUCCACAUAACCAUUCAUGAUACUGAGGCUGGGAGCCUAUUUCAGUUCGAGAAUAAAUCAUCAUCACAUGGCACUUAGUCGCUAACAUGUGUCAUAUAGCUGCAAUAGAAUGCUGUAUCACCAACAAUAAUGUGGUUUCUCUAAGACAUCACCCAGUAAUCUAUCAAGUCCAUUUACAUAUUUCUCAAAACAUACUGCUGUUAUGACUCAUCCCACCCCUCAUUUUAUGCCUCUAUCGUAGAUGGGUAGAUUUGCUAGUAUUAGUUAUACGUGGUCACUACACAAUCAUCAAAUGGCAUGAUAAGCCUCGACUGUUAUAAAUUAUAUUUAUUGGUUAUGGCUACUACAUUGUGAGAACAAUGCGAUACUUCAAGGUGAGAUGGAACCCUCUAUUUUAUCCUUCUCUGACUGUUUGUUGCUCUCCUUGUCUCUUUCUCCAUACACUUAAAUAAUUAUAUGCAAACGUGCAUAUAUUCACACAUACACGAACACAUAUAUAUAUACACAUAUUUACAUAUACAUGCUUACAAACAUAAUGCACACACAAACACAAACACACACAUACAUACGAGGGAUGUUGAAAAGCUCCUGGCUUUGGGUAAAAGAAAAUACAGAAGGAUCAGUUAAUUAUAACCUUAUUCAACAUAUUACCCCGCUCAGAUUCACACACUUAUUGCAGUGGUCCUUCAGUUUUUCUAAGCCCCCUAAAAGAACUCAGAAGAUUGGGCCUCAAACCAGAGCUAUCGUGAUACUCUUAAAGCCAGGAACUUUUCAGCACCCCUCGUAUACACACACACACACACACACACACACACACACACACACACACACACACACACACACACACACAUAAAACUGAGAAUGUGUGUCUGUAUGUGUUCGUCACUAAAAUUCGAGAACUACCCAACCGAUUUUAUUCAAAUUUUACACGUCUUACUUAGGGUCCAUGGAGUAUCAAAACAUUUGGAACUUCUUGCCUAAUGCGGGCCCAGAGCAAUUUCUUAUUUCUUACAAUGUUUCGGUAUUACGUGUCAAAAGUGAAAUAAUAACAUCUCUAUUACAAUAUGAUAUGAUACUAUCACUAUCAUAUGGUUUCAAUCUUAAUUAGUUUCACUAUGUGUAUAUAUAUAUAUAUAUAUAUAUAUAUAUAUAUAUAUAUAUAUGUAUGUAUGUAUGUAUAUGUAAAAAAAUACAAACUGAGACAAGAACGCAAAACAUUUAGAAGACGAUACAAAAAACACGGACGGGACAUUCGAAGCCUUCAAUCUUCAGUCAAGAACCGGAUCAUCCUCGCAAUUUCGGCUGAUUAAUCUUGAGAUUGCUCCGACCUGGCCAGCGCCAAAGGAAAAUCUAAGCCAAGCGCAUUAGAUUCCUUGGAAGAAAGCCUCGAAUUGUAUACAAAACAAGGACGGAAAACCGGACGAUGUUACACGAAUAAGAAUACAAAAAUACGUAAAAACAAUUAUGAUAAUAAUAAAAACAAGAACAGGACAUCACAGACAAGCGUCUUUUCGACAGGACGAGUAAAUUUUGAGAUGGCGUUAGAAAAAUGCCUUAGGGCAAGUGAGAGAAAAAAAUGUGUCUUGCCGCAACGGCUGCUGACCACGAAAAGGCUAGCAAUCGGUCGGCUAGUCACGCGUAAGGAGAAGAGAGAGGAAAAGAGGGACAGAUGAAGAGAGAAAGAAGGGGAACAAGGAACAAAGGAAGAGGAGAAGAGAGAGAGAGAGAGAGAAAGAGACAGAUCAAAGUGGAGUGCAAAGUGUGAAAGGCAGAGAAAUGUAGGAGAGGGGGGAGAGAGACAGUAUUAUAGAGUCGUACUAAGUUUUAAAGAAAUAUGUACUUACAUAUGUACCAAAAAGGGUACGGGCGUCGCUAUAUAUAUAUAUAUAUAUGUAUAUGUAAAAAAAUACAAACUGGGACAAGAACGCAGAACAUUUAGAAGACGAUACGAAAAUCACGGACGGGACAUUUGAAGCCUUCAAUCUUCAGUCAAGAAGCGGAUCAUCCUCGCAAUUUCGGCUGAUUAAUCUUGAGAUUGCUCCGACCUGGCCAGCCCCAAAAGAAAAUCUAUGCCAAGCGCAUUAUAUAUAUAUAUAUAUAUAUAUAUAUAUAUAUGUGUGUGUGUGUGUGUGUGUCUUUGUGUGUGUGUGUGUGUGUGUGUGUGUGUGUGUGUAUGUGCGUGUGUGUGUGGAGGUGCAGUGGCCCAGUGGUCAGGGCAGCGGACUCGCGGUCGUAGGAUAGCGGUUUCGAUUCCCAGACCGGGCGUUGUGAGAGUUUAUUGAGCGAAAACACCUAAAGCUCCACGAGUCUCCGGCAGGGGGUGGUGGCGAUCCCUGCUGUACUCUUUCGCCACAACUCUCUCUUUCACUCUUUCUUCUGGUGGCCUGCUCGCUUAGCCAGCGGGAUGGCGUCAUUUGAAGGCUAAAAUAAUGCAAAGCGCAUUGUGACCAGCGAUGUGUAGCAACAUUUGAUAGCCUGGUCGGUCACGGUGGUAUACAUACAUACAUACAUACAUAUAUAUAUAUAUAUAUAAAAGUUUCAUUUCUAUUAGUUUCACUAUAUAUUUAGGUUUGCUAAAAUAGUGAACGUGUUCUGUUAUUUAUACGCAUUCAAUUAUAAUUAUUCCGUUAUAAAGAACAAUAAAUAAAUAGGCGCAGGUGUGGCUGUGUGAUAAGAAGCCUGUUUCCCAAUCACAUGGUUUCACGUGGCACCUUCUGCAAGCGUUUUCGUCUAUAGUCGGGGAUCAACUGAAACCUGAGUGGGUUUGGUAGAGAGAAACUAAAAGAAGCCCGUCGUAUAAGUGUAUGCAUAUAUCUGUUGUCAAGCAAUGCUAGGGAGACAAACACAUACACACACAUACUUAUAACGAACAGAUGCAUGCUUAUAACGAACAGAUGCAGACAUAUCAACGUGCCCCACCACCUCCAUUCCUCCACCAUCUCUUGUUGCUAUUUAUGCAAUAGGUGUGUCUGCCAGCCCUGUACGUUCUAUUGUUUAACUAAUAUACUCUAUACGUGAAUCAAUUUAUAUAAAGACAAUAUCACCUAAACCGUAUUCUAUACAAAUUCUGUUUUAAAGAAAGUGAAUUAAAUUAAAUAGAAUAAUAAUAAAAAUGUGUUAAAGCUUUGAAAUAUUGUUCUUGUCGUUGUUGAUGUUGUUAUCCACAUAAAAGCUUAUUAAAUAAGUUUGUGUGUGUGUGUGUGUGUGUGUGUGUGUAUAUGCGUAUGAGAGAGAGGUGGAGAGAAACAGAAAAAGAUUAAUGUUUGCGUGUAUAUCUAUAUCUAUGAAGUUGUGUAAACGUAUGUGUGUCUAUCUAUCUAUCUAUCUAUCUAUCUAUCUAUCUAUCUAUCUAUCUAUCUAUCUAUCUAUCUAUCUAUCUAUCUAUCUAUCUAUCUAUCUAUCUAUCUAUCUGCCCCCUCUUUAUCGAGUAUGGCCAUUGCACGAAGCUUAACUGUUACUGGUGCUGUUAUCGAAUGUGACUUUUUAGUCCAGCUAAAGAUCUACAAUGUCUUGUACAGAAUUGGUAGCUAAAACCUUUACCGGUAAUAGCCGGCUGUAGAAGGGCAUCGCUGUUACACUUCCAGAUGCGAAGGGUCUUCCUUUGAUGCUGACAUGCAAUGUCUGUGCAAGACCCUGCCUCAGUAAAGCUGGACUCAAGAGUCAUCUUCGUUGUCAUAAAGCGAGACAGAUGAGUGACAACCUGACCACUGGUGGUGGUGUAACACACCAUACUAAUCAUAUCUGUUGGGCGUGUGGAAGAGAGUGUAAUUCGGCAGGAGGACUUAAACGACAUGCAAAGGUACAUGAAGCCCAGUUACAACUACAGCCGACUAUAUAUAUAUACAUACAUACAUGCAUACGUAUAUAUGUCUAUAUACAUGUGUUUGUAUACAGAUACGCACACACAUAUGACAGAUGACCACUAAUGAGCAAACUUAGUAAUGACAGUUGAAUGCUAGGUUCAAUAAUACUUGCACAACACCACGCAGAUCCUCUCCAGUAUAGAAAUGAUACAGAUAUCAGCCAUGACAGCGUAACCGGUGUCGAUAUUGGGUUCAGUCUCAUGAGUAUAGAAGUGUUAUUAUCUUCAGUUAGCUUUGAAAAUCUCCAAAAUGGCAAUUGCUCUGUGACAAGAUUUUUUUUUAUUAUUUUUAAACCAGAGUAACUUUUUGUGGUAAAUUUUAACUAAUGUUUAAAGGUUGACUCAGUUCCUGUAAUGUUACAAUAACUCACUCAUUCUGCUUUCCAGUUAAAAAUUGCAAAAGAAUACAAUAGGAUGUUAAAAUUCUUUUGAGAGACUUGGAUCACACCUUCUGAAACCAAUAAUGUAGGAGGACACUUGUUUUCUAAUAGACCAAUUAGUAAUUGUUGAUAUUAUUUUCUUUUAAUAUUCAGACAUAUUUGGAAAAAGAAACAACGAAGAAUUUUUCUGUGUGUCUUUGUUCACUUGUGUGCUGCGAGAAUCCUUUUAAAAAACAUUCGGUAAGUCCUAUUCAUUUCACUGUCGUUUAGAAAUAAAGUCUUUGGUCUUUGAAAGUAAUUACUAAAAGGUAAGUUACUAUGGUUGUUGGAAUUAAACGGAAGAAGAGAGUUUUGUGUAUGUUCUUAAUAGAAAGUUUUCUUUUGCUAAU